rnacentral:misc_RNA from 1 species
AAGUCGUAACAAGGUCUCCGUUGGUGAACCAGCGGAGGGAUCAUUACAGGACGUCGAAAGACAUCCCAUUCAACCCAUUGUGAACUUUACCAUCUUGUUGCCUCGGCAGGCGAUCUCAGGGGAGGUCUUUAACCAAGUUUUUGGUGCCUGUCAGUGGCCUUUAAAUUCUCGUCAAACAAAUUAUCUGAACUAGCGCAAACUAUCAAAACUUUCAGCAACGGAUCUCUUGGCUCUA